rnacentral:rRNA from 1 species
CAGCCGCCGCGGUAAAACGUAGGGUGUGAGCGUUAAUCGGAAUUACUGGGCGUAAAGCGUGCGCAGGCGGUUGUGUAAGACAGGUGUGAAAUCCCCGGACUUAACCUGGGAACUGCGCUUGUGACUGCACAGCUAGAGUAUGGCAGAGGGGGGGUGGAAUUCCACGUGUAGCAGUGAAAUGCGUAGAGAUGUGGAGGAACACCGAUGGCGAAGGCAGCCCCCUGGGCCAAUACUGACGCUCAUGCACGAAAGCGUGGGGAGCAAACAGGAUUAGAUACCCCUGUAGUCCCUGUCUCUUAUU